GGUUCCAUGGCUCAGUUGGUUAGCGCGUGGUGCUAAUAUCUUGACACUUUACGGUGCCUAAAUGUUAACGCCAAGGUCGAGGGUUCGACCCCCUCUGGAACCA